GCGACAGGACGGAAAGACCCCAUGGAGCUUUACUGUAGCUUGACAUUGGGUCUUGGUACUACAUGUACAGGAUAGGUGGGAGGCUUUGAAACCAGGACGCCAGUUUUGGCGGAGCCAUCCUUGGGAUACCACCCUUGUAGUACUGGGACUCUAACCAUAGGCCAUGAAUCUGGUCUUGGGACACUGUCAGGUGGGCAGUUUGACUGGGGCGGUCGCCUCCCAAAAGGUAACGGAGGCGCUCAAAGGUUCUCUCAGUACGGUCGGAAAUCGUACGUAGAGUGUAAAGGCAAAAGAGAGCUUGAUUGCAAGACAUACAGGUCGAGCAAGGAUGAAAAUCGGACUUAGUGAUCC
rnacentral:rRNA from 1 species